GAUGAACGCUGGCGGCGUGCCUAAUACAUGCAAGUCGAGCGAACGGACGAGAAGCUUGCUUCUCUGAUGUUAGCGGCGCACGGGUGAGUAACACGUGGAAAACCCACCUAUAACACUGGGAUAACUUCGGGAAACCGGCGCUAACACCGGAUAAUCUUUUGAACCGCAUGGUUCAACAGUGAAAGACGGCCUUGCUGUCACUUCUAGAUGGCUCCGUGCUGCAUUAGCUGGUUGGUAAGGUACCGGCUUACCAAGGCAACGAUGCCUAGCCGACCUGAGAGGGUGAUCGGCCACACGGGAACGGAGACACGGUCCAGACUCCUACGGGAGGCAGCAGUAGGGAAUGUGCCGCAAUGGGCGAGAGCCUGACGGAGCAAGGGCGCGUGAGUGAUGAAGGUGUUCGGAGCGUAAAGCUGUGUUAUGAGGGAAGAACAUAUGUGUGAGUAACUGUGGAGAUCGUGACGGUACCUAAUCAGAAAGCGACGGCUAACUACGUG
rnacentral:rRNA from 1 species